rnacentral:lncRNA from 1 species
GCAGGAUGUAACACGUACUCACAAUUAAGUUGGAUGACUCAAUUCAUGAGCAUAAAGACUGAAAGCCACAUGUCAGAGAGGACUUACAAUCAGAUGUCUUCGAUGAUGAAAGCUGCUUUACCAGAGGUAACAACUGUCCAGAAGACUUCUAUAGUACGAAAAGAAAUCUACGUGGUUUGGGUUUGCCAGUAGAGAAGAUCGAUUGCUGUGUUAAAUAACUGCAUGUUGUAUUGGGGGGAAACUAGUGAGCUACAUAGUUGUAUGUUCUGUGACCAAUCACGAUAUAAGGACAGCUUGCGUGCAUCUGGGAGUCGCAGAAAGAAACAAGUGCCCGCCAAACAGAUGCACUAUUUUCCCUUGACGCCCCGAUUGCAGAGAUUGUUUGCAUCUCCUGCAACUGCUGAAUAUAUGCGGUGGCAUGCGACCUCCACAGACGAUGGGAUAAUGCGCCACCCGGCCGACUCUCCGGUAUGGACACAUUUGAAUUCAGUCUUUCCUGGAUUCGCCGAUGAGAUUAGAAAUGUGAGGUUGGGCCUCUCUACAGAUGGUUUUGCCCCAUUUGCACAAUCAGGGCGUCAAUAUUCUUCUUGGCCAGUUAUUGUCACGCCGUAUAACCUGCCUCCGUGGUUGUGCAUGAAAGAACAAUUCAUGUUCCUCACAGUCCUCGUGCCUGGCCCAUCAAACCCAAGAUGAAGUUGGACGUAUUCUUACAGCCAUUGAUACACGAGUUAAAAUCUCUGUGGGAGGUUGGUGUGAACACUUACGACAUAUCGUUGAAGCAAAAUUUCCAGAUGUGAGCAGCUCUGAUAUGGACUAUCAGUGAUUUUCCAGCGUACGCUAUGUUGUCUGGGUGGGUACAGCUGGGAAAUUGGCAUGUCCACAUUGCAUGGAGAAUACAGAAGCAUUCACUUUGCCGAUGAGUGGNUUUAUUUCGUAUAUGUUAGAAUUUUAUAUGUUUCGAAUUUUUAUAUGUUUUGUAUAGUAUUGAAUUUUUAUUUAGAUAUAGUAUUUGUUAGAUUUAUUUAUAUGUUUCGUACGUAUAUGUUAGAUAUAGUGUACUUGAGUGUUGUUACAAGUUUGAGUAUAGUUUGAGUGUUGUUAGAAUUUUUAUUUAGUUGAAGCAUAUUUAGAUAUAUUUAAUCGUGUUUAUAGAUCAUUAGGUUAAUUUUACUGUAUUACGCAUAAAAUAAUAACGUUUUUUAGGUUAUUCAAUCCCGGCGGCUACUUCUUAAAAAUAUUAUUUACUGGCGGAUACUUAUUGGGGUUCUAUAUUUUUUUAUUUAUGUUUCUAGUAAUUUAAUAGUUAAUUAUGCAUUAUUAUUAGUUGAUGUUUGUUAAUUCAUUAUGUUUUGUAAAUUGAGUUAUUUUUUGUAUUGAAUAGGUCCGUUAUUCGAGGCCCGAGACGCUCAAUCGUCCAAAAAUUGGGAUCAGUACGUACUACAAUAUUAGGUACCUGUCGACAGUAGCUCGAGACUAAACGAAAUUGGCGGUUUUGCACUGGAGAAUACGUUCAGGCAUGGGUGCUUUGGGAUGAUGUUGGAUUGGCAGCCGGGCCAGAAGUGCAAUGCUGCAUGUUGGAUGCAGCGGAUACUCCAUUGUACGCAGGAUGUGACACGUACACACAAUUAAGUUGGAUGACUCAAUUCAUGAGCAUAAAGACUGAAAGCCACAUGUCAGAGAGGACUUACAAUCAGAUGUCUUCGAUGAUGAAAGCUGCUUUACCAGAGGGUAACAACUGUCCAGAAGACUUCUAUAGUACGAAAAGAAAUCUACGUGGUUUGGGUUUGCCAGUAGAGAAGAUCGAUUGCUGUGUUAAUAACUGCAUGUUGUAUUGGGGGGAAACUAGUGAGCUACAUAGUUGUAUGUUUUGUGACCAAUCACGAUAUAAGGACAACUUGCGUGCAUCUGGGAGUCGCCGAAAGAAACAAGUGCCCGCCAAACAGAUGCACUAUUUUCCCUUGACGCCCCAAUUGCAGAGAUUGUUUUGCAUCUCCUGCGACUGCUGAACAUAUGCGGUGGCAUGCGACCUCCACAGACGAUGGGAUAAUGCGCCACCCGGCCGACUCUCCGGCAUGGAAACAUUUGAAUUCAGUCUUUCCUGGAUUCGCCGAGGAGAUCAGAAAUGUGAGAUUGAGCCUCUCUACAGAUGGUUUUGCCCCAUUUGCACAAUCAGGGCGUCAA